CCUACGGGGGGCAGCAGUUGGGAAUCUUGCACAAUGGGGGAAACCCUGAUGCAGCGACACCGCGUGGAGGAUGAAGGUUUUCGGAUUGUAAACUCCUUUUUUGGGGAAAACGGUACCCCAAGAAUAAGCACCGGCUAACUACGUGCCAGCAGCCGCGGUAAGACGUAGGGUGCAAGCGUUAUCCGGAUUUACUGGGCGUAAAGAGCGCGUAGGCGGCUCGUUAAGUGUGAAGUGAAAUCUUCGGGCUCAACCCGAAAACUGCUUCGCAUACUGGCGAGCUUGAGGGGCACAGAGGCAACUGGAAUUCCUGGUGAAGCGGUGAAAUGCGUAGAUAUCAGGAGGAACUCCCAUGGCGAAGGCAGGUUGCUGGGCCAUCUGACGCUGAGGCGCGAAAGCGUGGGUAGCAAACAGGAUUAGAUACCCUUGUAGUC
rnacentral:rRNA from 1 species